rnacentral:lncRNA from 1 species
AUGCUACCAAGAACAACAUCCCUGCCCAGGUGACAACUGCCAACAUGGAAAAGUAACUAUAACUAGGGAUUCAAGGUCAUUAGAGCAUUAUGCCCUGAUACGAGGUUGGACAGCACACAGAACACAUCACAUAUGUGGGGUAAGUGUCCUCU